AAACUAAUCCACGGUGUCUGAUCGCUUAGAGAUGUGAUGGAUAAACCACAAAAUUAAAACCCACGAGUUGGGCUAGAAUACAAUACGAAGAGCUUCACACACCGUUCCCAAACUCUUCACCAUCUUUGGCUUUCAUCAGCUUUCUUAUGAAUAUGAUGAAUAUUUGGAUGUAUCUUUCGUCUCCUUCAUAUCAAUCUCUUUGAUUCCAGAGCCCUCCGGAAAAAAAAAAAAAAAAAAUCUUGUAACUCCCAUACAAGUCCAAUCAAAUCCCUCCAAAAUCAAACACAAAUUCUAGGUUUUUUUUUUUUUUUUUUUUUUUCUCCUCUGGAAACCCUAGAAAGCAGAAAAUCUCACUCCCCAUUGAUACACUGUCCAUUACGCGCAAUUCUGUGGCCAAUAGUUGAGCAGGAGUGACAAAGAUUGUAAAUUUAUUCUUUGCUUUUUGCUGAGGAUCGACCAGUGUUCUCCUUUUCGAGGAAUAUGCUUUUGAGUUCUAUGCGUUUGGGUUUGGAUUGUAGAGGAAUUUAUGUAAACUUGGAUAUGCGUUCACGUAAACACACUCACCGGCAGACGCAUGAAUUGCCCAAUUGAGACUUGGGCCCCCAUUUGGAGUAGAACUGAAUUGUUCACAGUUUGAAAUGGAUAAUGAGGUGAUUGAAUUUGAUAUUGGGUUGGGUGGAGGGGGAGGAGGAAGUGGCCGAGAAGGAGAUGAUGAUAUUGUGGACAUUGAACACACUGUUGAUGAUGAGGAAAUGGUUGAUAGUCCUGCUCUUACUAGUGGUGGCAGUGGAGGUGGUGGUGGUGAGAUUUACCUUCCUGAGGGGGACCUAUUGGAUCUUGAACCUUAUGAAGGCAUGGAAUUUGAGUCUGAGGAGGCUGCCAAGGCCUUCUAUAAUUCCUAUGCUCGCCGUGUUGGGUUCAGUACCCGUGUCAGUUCCUCUCGUCGUUCUAGACGUGAUGGUGCUAUUAUUCAGCGGCAGUUUGUUUGUGCUAAAGAGGGCUUCCGGAAUUUGAAUGAGAAGCGCACCAAAGAUAGAGAGAUCAAGCGCCCUCGAACUAUCACCAGAGUCGGAUGCAAAGCGUCAUUAUCUGUAAAGAUGCAAGAUUCUGGGAAAUGGAUUGUUUCUGGGUUUGUCAGAGAGCACAAUCAUGAGUUGGUUCCUCCUGAUCAAGUGCAUUGUCUUCGUUCUCAUAGGCAAAUUUCUGGUCCUGCAAAGACCUUGAUUGAUACCUUGCAGGCAGCUGGAAUGGGUCCGCGAAGGAUUAUGUCAGCCCUAAUAAAAGAGUAUGGUGGAAUAAGCAAGGUUGGAUUUACUGAGGUGGACUGUAGAAAUUACAUGAGGAAUAAUCGCCAGAGGAGCUUAGAAGGAGACAUCCAACUACUGUUAGAUUAUUUGAGGCAGAUGCAUGCGGAUAACCCCAAUUUCUUCUAUGCUGUGCAAGGUGAUGAGGAUCAGUCGACAGGAAAUGUUUUUUGGGCUGAUCCAAAGGCAAGAAUGAACUAUAAUUACUUUGGUGACACUGUUACUUUUGAUACUACCUACAGAUCAAACAGGUAUCGCUUGCCAUUUGCACCUUUCACUGGGGUAAACCAUCACGGGCAGCCAGUGUUGUUUGGUUGUGCUUUUUUAAUAAAUGAAUCUGAAGCAUCAUUUGUUUGGCUUUUUAAGACAUGGCUCAUGGCAAUGUCAGGUCGGCCUCCUGUGUCAAUAACCACUGAUCAUGAUGCUGUGAUCCGGUCAGCAAUAAUGCAAGUCUUCCCAGAGACCCGCCAUCGUUUUUGUAAAUGGCACAUCUUUAAAAAAUGUCAAGAGAAAUUGUCCCAUGUGUUUCUUAAACAUCCAAGUUUUGAAGCGGACUUUCAUAAAUGUGUUAACUUGACCGAGUCAAUAGAGGAAUUUGAGUCUUGCUGGUUGUCCCUUGUUGACAGAUAUGAUCUCAGGGAUCAUGAGUGGCUUCAAACAAUAUAUUCUGCUCGAAGGCAGUGGGUCCCAGUUUAUCUGCGGGACACUUUUUUUGCUGAAAUGUCAAUAACCCAGCGUAGUGAUAGCAUGAAUUCUUACUUUGAUGGAUAUGUGAAUGCUUCAACGAAUCUGAGUCAGUUCUUCAAGCUUUAUGAGAAAGCUCUGGAGAGUCGCAAUGAGAAGGAAGUGAAAGCAGAUUAUGAUACCAUGAACACUUCGCCAGUUCUGAAGACUCCGUCUCCAAUGGAGAAGCAAGCAUCGGAGCUUUAUACUAGAAAAUUAUUCAUGAGGUUUCAAGAGGAGCUAGUUGGAACCCUAACUUUCAUGGCAUCCAAGGCUGAGGAUGAUGGGGAGAUCAUCACUUAUCAAGUAUCAAAGUAUGGGGAGGAUCAUAAAGUUUACUAUGUUAAGUUUAAUGUUUUAGAGAUGAAAGCAACUUGUAGUUGCCAGAUGUUCGAGUUCUCGGGUCUUCUUUGCAGACAUGUAUUGGCAGUCUUUAGAGUGACCAAUGUGCUAACUCUUCCAUCACAUUACAUACUGAAAAGAUGGACGAGGAAUGCAAAGAGCAGUGUUAUAUUAGAAGAACAUCGUAGUGAUGUAUAUACCAAUUACCUGGAGUCUCAUACUGUUCGAUAUAAUACCCUACGUCAUGAAGCCUUUAAAUAUGUAGAUGAAGGAGCAAAAUCUGCGGAAAUGUAUGAUGUAGCAUUGGGUGCUCUGCAAGAGGCUGUGAACAGAGUAGCUUGUGCAACAAAGAAUGAGGGGAAAACUGCCAUGAUGAAUGGGCGUAUCAGGGGAAGCUCUUCCAACAAUGCAUGUCAGGUGAAUAACACUUGUGUGGAUCGUGAAGGGAGCUCUGGACAACAUAUGUCUGAGGAUGAUAUGGACAAGAAAAUUCGCGAACUUACAAAUGAACUGGAGUGUGCAAAUCGGAAAUGUGAGGUUUAUCGGGCUAACCUUCUUUCAGUUUUAAAAGAUAUUGAGGAUCAUAAGCUACAGUUGUCAAUUAAAGUGCAGAACAUUAAGAUUAGCAUGAAAGAUGGCCUUUAAAGGUGCAAUAUGCCAUACAUGUACUUCUCUUCAUUUUUAGUCUACUUUCAAGUCAAUGUACGGUUUUAGUGCUCUUUAUGAGGCUGUACCUUCACUUGUGGUGGUACAGAGAUCGGAGAAUGCCUUGCAUUGUGUAUUUAGUGCUUCUGGAUGCAGAUGUAUAAAUUGUAGUUCUAUAAUCCAAACUCUAUGCAGAUGGAUGGCCUUGUCUCUAAUGUAUUUAAAAGAUGUUUUCUUUCUUUAACCAUCUCUUUAGAACAAUGGAAAAGCGAACCAUUACUUCUACAGUAAGAUGCAAAGGUCCAUACUAUCAAUCAAAAUGUUUGUGGUAUAUUUCGGCCAUUGGUGGUUUGAGAUCUCAAUUGUAAAUCUAUUGCUGGUGGAUUUAGACAUCAAGUGUAAAUUAUUUUCUGGUGGAUCCGGAUGCCUCUUACUCAUAAGUUCUUUCAUGGAGGAACAAAUGGCUGAAAGUUUACAAGUGGAAGGCAGAUGAGAGCAACAACUACUGCAUUAAUGGGGUAUGAAAGACCCAGGCAAUUCGGCUUGUUUUAUUGAUUGUUUAUUUAUACAUACAAGUACAGAUGGAAAUGCUUAGCUUCUCAGUUUUGUAGAAUUGUAGUUAAAGGUUUGUGCUUGAUACCCUGUGCCUUUAGAAUAACAGAAUCUUCUACUAAGUAAAUUCUAUAGGUCAUCAUUCAUCCUAGACAGGAGAAUUGGCUAUUUUAAUGCUAAUGCUGAUUCUGUCUAAUCUUGUAUGAGCAGGAAUAUAAGUUAAGGUUUUCUUUCCACUUUUUAUGUAUCUUGUUUUUAUGAAGUAAAAUGCUAGUCAAACUUUUGUUGGA